rnacentral:misc_RNA from 1 species
GAUGAAGAACGCAGCGAAAUGCGAUACGUAGUGUGAAUUGCAGAAUUCAGUGAAUCAUCGAAUCUUUGAACGCACAUUGCACCUCUCGGUAUUCCGGGAGGUAUGCCUGUUCGAGCGUCAUUUGUACCCUCAAGCUCUGCUUGGUGUUGGGUGUUUGUUCCGCCUCUGUGUGUGAACUCGCCUCAAAACAAUUGGCAGCCGGCGUACUUGUUUCGGAGCGCAGCACAUUUUGCGAUCCAGAUCAACGUACAGCGGCAUCCAAGAAGCCUUAUUUAACGCUCUUGACCUCGGAUCAGGUAGGGAUACCCGCUGAACUUAAGCAUAUCAAUAAGCGGAGGA